UUUCAUUGGUAUUAAUAGUUAAGAUCUUUAAAUUAAAAGAAUUUGACGGUAAUUUAUCAUUUCAGAGGAGCCUGUCCUUUAAUCGAUACCCCACGUUAAAUUUUACCUUAAAUUUUUGCCUAUAUACCUCUGUUUUAGAGUGUUUUAUUAGGAUUAUUCUCUUUUAUUUUUUAAAAAUUUAUAUCAGGUCAAGGUUUAGCUAUAUUAAGGUUGAGAUGGGCUACAUUUAUUCUUAUUAUUAGAUCUUCAUAUUUAUUUAUGGAAGUGAAAUUGGAUUUGGUAGUAAUUUGUAUUAUAUUUUAUUUAUGAUAUUUGUUCUAGAUUAAG
rnacentral:rRNA from 1 species